UACGUAGGUGGCAAGCGUUGUCCGGAUUACUGGGCGUAAAGAGCGCGCAGGCGGUCGUUCAAGUCGCGUGUGAAAGCCCCCGGCUCAACUGGGGAGGGUCACGCGAUACUGAUCGACUCGAAGGCAGGAGAGGGUAGUGGAAUUCCCGGUGUAGUGGUGAAAUGCGUAGAUAUCGGGAGGACACCAGUGGCGAAGGCGACAUACCUGGCCUGUUCUUGACGCUGAGGCGCGAAAGCCAGGGGAGCAAAGCGGG
rnacentral:rRNA from 1 species